UUCAUAUUCCAGUACUUUGGGAUUUUCUUUUAGUCUAUUUUAUCAUACUUUAGUUCUGUGGCCACUAUAUACUGUAUAAUUACAUUCAAUUUGAGCCAAACAACAACACUUAGACCUAGUACAGUCAUCAUAACAUAGAUUCUUGUGGCCUACUAUUUCAAAAUCGUAUUCAUUUUUACUCUACACUUUUGUAGGCAGUAUUUAUAAAGAUUUUCUGUUGCAGGCAGGGGAGACAGAAGCAGGAACCUCCGUCACACUGCAUCAGAACUCUAACCCAGACAACGCUGUCAGCGUCUUACUCUGUGUCUCCUCCGCUGGGUCACCAUGAAUCAUGGAAAUUGAUUACGCUGUCACAUCCCAAAUCCCACUGCCCAGAGCUUGACCGCACUUGUGUGUGACUAUCCACGGUCAAGCCUGCUUAGGAGCUGCGCAGCCAGCGACCGUGGCGAGGGGCCAGCCCUUGAGGACCAACCUCCAGGGUCAGCAGGCCCGAGAGCGUGGAGAAUGGAAGAAGAUCGUUCACGUCGACUGCAGGGAAUGAAGACGUGCUGCUUCACAUACCAGAGCCAAACGCUUCUCUUGUUUCCUCUCUCUCUCUAACUCCACUUGGCCUCUCCGUUUUCUUGUUGCUCGGUGACAUCCAUCUUAAUCAGGUGCUGACGACAUCAUCUUUGAGAACGGAUUCCGAGACUCCAUGGAGACCAGACAAUCUUUUUUUUUUUUUUUUUUUAAAGAAAACAUUCUUGUGGUCAGUUGAUGACCACAUAUUUCAGUUAUUCUAAAAUAUAUCUGCAGAAGAUAGAAUGAGAACAUGAAGAAAUGAGACCCUUGAAAACACUUGAGACAUUUUUCAAGAUCUUCUUUUUCUUCUGCAGAAGAAAGCAAGUCAUACAUGUUUGGAAUGGCAUUAAGAGACGGAUCACACCUGAAGAUGUUUCCAGAGGACACAGGGUUUUCAGUAUGAAACCGAACCCUGGGAGCGCUUCGACCUGAGCUUCAGAGAGCAUGAGACUGAUGUGCUUUUGAAGAUGAUGACAGAUACAGGGCCUUGAUUUCAUUUGAUUAACUGGAGCAAGAAACUCUGUGAUGCAUCAUAGAGAGACCAUCUUUCUCUCCUGAACUCUCUCAGGUUUUGAGGUCAUUUCGUUAAUCACACUUAGAACUUCUGAGUCACAGGUUAAAACAUGUCACUGCAAAUACAUUUCUCUGUUUUUGGGUUCUGUACUUGUAGUACUUUCAGUCCAUAAUCCAUUUUCAUUGAUAUCAAAGGAAUUCAAUGCUUCUAAUGAAUGCAAUCUGUUGUCUUCUUGGUGCCUGUUUUCCCUUGUCAGAACAAGGAAGAAACAUUUAUUGUCCUGGCUUUUGUUUUCUAUAUGACUCUCAUUUUAACCUGCACAAUUAAUAUUGAUGUUUAUUAUUCAACUUUUUGUUUUUACAUUUAAAACUUUUACAUUUUUUUUUUAAUUUAUUAUUUACAUUUUUAAUUCAUUAUUAUUGUUGUUGUUUGUAUUCCUUUUUUCAUAUUUGUAAAAUUGUGAUAUGAAUAUCCUCUAAUUUUGUGUAAAUACAUGUGCAAAGAUAUUACACAGAACUUAACCUGUAAUUUGUACUACAGAAACAAGAGACAGAAAAAUAAAAGGUGAACAUUCAUAUUGAGAUGUUGCUGU
ensembl:lncRNA